UACGGAGGGUGCGAGCGUUAUUCGGAUUCACUGGGCGUAAAGAGCACGUAGGCGGCUUGGUAAGUCUGACGUGAAAGCCCUCGACUUAAUCGAGGAAGUGCAUUGGAUACUGCCAGGCUAGAGUACAGGAGAGGAAGAUGGAAUUCCCGGUGUAGAGGUGAAAUUCGUAGAUAUCGGGAGGAACAACAGAGGCGAAGGCGAUCUUCUGGACUGUAACUGACGCUGAGGUGCGAAAGUGUGGGGAGCAAACAGG
rnacentral:rRNA from 1 species